rnacentral:lncRNA from 10 species
GGAGUUGCCCAAAGUCACACUGCUGUUACGAAGCGUCUACUGAGCACCUACCUGAUGCUAGCACCAGGCAAGGCACAGUGAGCCAGAAAAACGUGGAACCCACCCAAGGAGAACCACGAAAUGAGGAACAGCCCAGGAGAAGGAACCCAGCACAUCAUUCAACAUUUUCAAAUGUAAAAAAUAGUGACUCUUUGUUACCAUUUAUUGAGUGCUUACUAUAUACAAGAUCUGAUGCUUUGUGUUUUUUGUUGUUGUUUGUUUUUGGUUUUUGAGACAGAGUCUUACUCUGUCUCCCAGGUUGGAGUGCAGUGGCACAAUCUCAGCUCAAUACAACCUCUGCUUCCGGAGUUUGAGCGAUUUUCCUGCCUCAGCCUCCUGAGUAGCUGGCAUUGCAGGCACACACCACCACGCCUGGCUAAUUUUUGUAUUUUUAGGAGAGAUGGAGUUUCCCCGUGUUGGUCAGGCUGGUCUUGAACUCCUGACCUCAGGUGAUCCACCCUCCUUGGCCACCCGAAGUGCUGGGAUUACAGGUAUGAGCCACUGUGCCCAGCCUAAGAUCCAAUGCCUUGUACUGUAAUUUCUUUGUUUCCUCUCAUCUUUUACUAGAUUGAAAUAAGAUCGACAGAUUUGUUCUGCUUCCCCUUUCUCCUCUCCUAAUGCAACUCACAUUCAAGUUUCAUCUCUUUAUGAAUAUCAGGUAAAGGUAAAAAUGCUUGUUGCAUUGGGGUAAGUGGAGUAGUGAGGCUUUUGUUAUCUCCCUGCCCAAGCAGCUGGUCCCAAGGGAGUCAGACUGCCUGCCUCAGUCUUGGGAAAGUUAUUCUCUGUGUCCCGCUUUCCUCAUCUGUACAAUGGGUAUAUUUAUAAUUGCAACAGUUUCAUAUGGUUGUUAUGUGGGUCUAAUGAGAUAUCACGAAGGCUUAACAUGGUGCCACGCCCAUAAUAAUCACUCAAUAAAUAUCAGUGA